AUUGAACGCUGGCGGCAGGCCUAACACAUGCAAGUCGGGCGGAUGAAGGGAGCUUGCUCCUGGAUUCAGCGGCGGACGGGUGAGUAAUGCCUAGGAAUCUGCCUGGUAGUGGGGAUAACGUCCGGAAACGGGCGCUAAUACCGCAUACGUCCUGAAGGAGAAAGUGGGGGAUCUUCGGACCUCACGCUAUCAGAUGAGCCUAGGUCGGAUUAGCCAGUUGGUGGGGUAAAGGCCUACCAAGGCGACGAUCCGUAACUGGUCUGAGAGGAUGAUCAGUCACACUGGAACUGAGACACGGUCCAGACUCCUACGGGAGGCAGCAGUGGGGAAUAUUGGACAAUGGGCGAAAGCCUGAUCCAGCCAUGCCGCGUGUGUGAAGAAGGUCUUCGGAUUGUAAAGCACUUUAAGUUGGGAGGAAGGGCAGUAAGUUAAUACCUUGCUGUUUUGACGUUACCAACAGAAUAAGCACCGGCUAACUUCGUG
rnacentral:rRNA from 1 species